UACGUAGGGUGCAAGCGUUGUCCGGAAUUAUUGGGCGUAAAGAGCGUGUAGGCGGCCCGAUUAGUCCGCUGUGAAAGUCCAGGGCUCAACCCUGGAAUGCCGGUGGAUACUGUCGGGCUAGAGUCCGGAAGGGGCAAGUGGAAUUCCUGGUGUAGCGGUGAAAUGCGCAGAUAUCAGGAGGAACACCAAUGGCGAAGGCAGCUCGCUGGGACGUGACUGACGCUGAGACGCGAAAGCGUGGGGAGCAAACAGG
rnacentral:rRNA from 1 species